rnacentral:lncRNA from 1 species
UUACUCUUAAUUAUCACCUCAAAUAUUCUAGGUCAGAGUACAUCAUGGUAAAAGCAUAAGCUACCAAAUUAGAAAAAAUAAUGGCUUUGUGACUUAUCUUCCUAGAUGUCCUAUGUCAAUAGUCUAUCUCUUUGAUGUAGUUGUGUAAAAGCAAUCAAAAUGAUCUAAAAAGUUAUUUGAAUUUCUACUAAAUCUUUUUUCUCUUCAUUCAACUCCAC